rnacentral:tRNA from 1 species
GCGGAAUAGUUCAGUUGGUAGAACAUUAGGUUGCGGGCUACUGCCUAAGUGUCGCCGGUUCGAGUCCGGCUUCCGCU